ensembl:misc_RNA Y_RNA Y RNA
GGCUGGUCUGAUGGCAGUGGGUUAUCAGAACUUAUUAACAUUAGUGUCACUAAAGUUGGUAUUCAACCCUUCACUGCUAAAUUUGACUGGCUUAUA